GCCUCCCUAGCUCAGUCGGUAGAGCGCAAGGCCCUUAACCUUGUGGUCGCGGGUUCGAGCCCCGCGGGAGGUG